rnacentral:rRNA from 1 species
UGGCGGCGCGCCUAAACAUGCAAGUCGAACGAGAAAGUGGAGCAAUCCAUGAGUGCAGUGGCGUACGGGUGAGUAACACGUGGGUAAUCUACCCUUUGGUGGGGAAUAACUCUGGGAAACCGGAGCUAAUACCGCAUAAUCCCGAGAGGGAAAAGCAGCAAUGCGCCGAAGGAGGAGCCCGCGGCCGAUUAGCCAGUUGGUAGGGUAAUGGCCUACCAAAGCAAAGAUCGGUAGCCGGCCUGAGAGGGCACACGGCCACACUGGCACUGAAACACGGGCCAGACUCCUACGGGAGGCAGCAGUGGGGAAUCUUGCACAAUGGGGGAAACCCUGAUGCAGCGACGCCGCGUGAGCGAUGAAGCCCUUCGGGGUGUAAAGCUCUUUCGGCAGGGAAGAUUAUGACGGUACCUGCAGAAGCAGCUGCGGCUAACUACGUGCCAGCAGCCGCGGUAAUACGUAGGCAGCAAGCGUUGUUCGGAGUUACUGGGCGUAAAGGGUGUGUAGGCGGCUUUUUAAGUUUGGUGUGAAGUCUCCCGGCUCAACCGGGAGGGUGCGCCGAAUACUGAGAGGCUA